GCCGAGGGGUCUUGGGCAGGACUGACUCCUCCUUUGUUCCCCCCACAGCCUGCUGGACCGGGUGUUGUGGAGGGCAGGGGCUUCUGGUGGGCACUGACCUGCACUCUCUGUCCCCAGGCUCUCGGCUGAGCAAAAUCUAUUCCCAGUCCACCCUGUCACUGUCCACUGUGGCCAACGAGGCCCACAAUAACCUCGGGGUGAAGAGGCCCACGUCUCGGGCUCCCUCCCCGUCAGGUCUCAUGUCCCCAAGCCGCCUGCCUGGAAGCCGCGAACGGGACUGGGAAAAUGGCAGCAAUGCCUCCUCCCCAGCAUCAGUGCCCGAG
rnacentral:sRNA from 1 species